rnacentral:rRNA from 1 species
UACGUAGGGUGCAAGCGUUAAUCGGAAUUACUGGGCGUAAAGCGUGCGCAGGCGGCUAUGCAAGACAGAUGUGAAAUCCCCGGGCUUAACCUGGGAACUGCAUUUGUGACUGCAUAGCUAGAGUACGGGUAGAGGGGGAUGGAAUUCCGCGUGUAGCAGUGAAAUGCGUAGAUAUGCGGAGGAACACCGAUGGCGAAGGCAAUCCCCUGGACCUGUACU